rnacentral:rRNA from 1 species
AUUGAACGCUGGCGGCAUGAUUUACACAUGCAAGUCGAACGGUGACAGGCCGCAAGGUGCUGACGAGUGGCGAACGGGUGAGUAAUGCAUCGGAACGUGCCCAGUCGUGGGGGAUAACUACUCGAAAGAGUAGCUAAUACCGCAUACGAUCUGUGGAUGAAAGCGGGGGACCGUAAGGCCUCGCGCGAUUGGAGCGGCCGAUGUCAGAUUAGGUAGUUGGUGGGGUAAAGGCUCACCAAGCCAACGAUCUGUAGCUGGUCUGAGAGGACGACCAGCCACACUGGGACUGAGACACGGCCCAGACUCCUACGGGAGGCAGCAGUGGGGAAUUUUGGACAAUGGGCGCAAGCCUGAUCCAGCAAUGCCGCGUGCAGGAAGAAGGCCUUCGGGUUGUAAACUGCUUUUGUACGGAACGAAACGGCUCUGGUUAAUACCCGGGGCUAAUGACGGUACCGUAAGAAUAAGCACCGGCUAACUACGUG